AGUGAACGCUGGCGGCGUGCCUAAUACAUGCAAGUCGAACGAAGUGGCGCGCGGGUGAGUAAUAUAUAGUUAAUCUGCCCUACACAGAGGAACAACAGUUGGAAACGACUGCUAAUACCUCAUAGUGUAGGAUGAGACUAUAUCGUAUCAGCUAGUUGGUAAGGUAAUGGCUUACCAAGGCUAUGACGCGUAACUGGUCUGAGAGGAUGAUCAGUCACAUUGGAACUGAGACACGGUCCAGACUCCUACGGGAAGGAGCGGUAAGGAAUAUUGCGCAAUGGGGGAGACCCUGACGCAGCUACGCCGCGUGGAGGAUGACACGUGUCGGAGCGUAAACUCCGUUUAUCAGGAAAGCGGUACCUGAAGAAGAAGCACCGGCUAACUCCGUGCCAGCCGCCGCGGUAAUUC
rnacentral:rRNA from 1 species